rnacentral:rRNA from 1 species
UGGGGAAUAUUGCACAAUGGGCGCAAGCCUGAUGCAGCGACGCCGCGUGGGGGAUGACGGCCUUCGGGUUGUAAACCUCUUUCAGCAGGGACGAAGCGCAAGUGACGGUACCUGCAGAAGAAGCACCGGCCAACUACGUGCCAGCAGCCGCGGUAAUACGUAGGGUGCGAGCGUUGUCCGGAAUUACUGGGCGUAAAGAGCUCGUAGGUGGUUUGUCGCGUUGUUCGUGAAAUCUCACGGCUUAACUGUGAGCGUGCGGGCGAUACGGGCAGACUGGAGUACUGCAGGGGAGACUGGAAUUCCUGGUGUAGCGGUGGAAUGCGCAGAUAUCAGGAGGAACACCGGUGGCGAAGGCGGGUCUCUGGGCAGUAACUGACGCUGAGGAGCGAAAGCGUGGGGAGCGAACA